GAUGAACGCUGGCGGCGUGCUUAACACAUGCAAGUCGAACGGUGAAGGCGGAGCUUGCUCUGCUGGAUCAGUGGCGAACGGGUGAGUAACACGUGAGCAAUCUGCCCCUGACUCUGGGAUAAGCGCUGGAAACGGCGUCUAAUACUGGAUACGAGCUGCGAAGGCAUCUUCAGCAGCUGGAAAGAACUUCGGUCAGGGAUGAGCUCGCGGCCUAUCAGCUUGUUGGUGAGGUAACGGCUCACCAAGGCGUCGACGGGUAGCCGGCCUGAGAGGGUGACCGGCGACACUGGGACUGAGACACGGCCCAGACUCCUACGGGAGGCAGCAGUGGGGAAUAUUGCACAAUGGGCGAAAGCCUGAUGCAGCAACGCCGCGUGAGGGACGACGGCCUUCGGGUUGUAAACCUCUGUUAGCAGGGAAGAAGCGAAAGUGACGGUACCUGCAGAAAAAGCGCCGGCUAACUACGUG
rnacentral:rRNA from 1 species